UACCUGGUUGAUCCUGCCAGUAGUCAUAUGCUUGUCUCAAAGAUUAAGCCAUGCAAGUCUAAGUACGAGCUCUCGUACAGUGAAACUGCGAAUGGCUCAUUAAAUCAGUUAUGGUUCAUUUGAUCGUACAGUUUACUUGGAUAACUGUGGUAAUUCUAGAGCUAAUACAUGCGAGAAGCGCCGACCUCGCGGGAGGCGUGCAUUUAUCAGACCAAAAACCGGCCGCGUCUUCGGGCGCGUUCGCCUUGGUGACUCUGGAUAACUUUGCGGAUCGCACGGUCUAGCACCGGCGACGGAUCAUUCAAGUGUCUGCCCUAUCAACUUUCGUCGGUACGGUAUUUGCCUACCGAGGUUCUUACGGGUGACGGGGAAUCAGGGUUCGAUUCCGGAGAGGGAGCCUGAGAAACGGCUACCACAUCCAAGGAAGGCAGCAGGCGCGCAAAUUACCCAUUCCCGACGCGGGGAGGUAGUGACGAAAAAUAACAAUGCAGGACUCGUUCGAGGCCCUGUAAUUGGAAUGAGUACACUUUAAAAGCUUUAACGAGUAUCCAUUGGAGGGCAAGUCUGGUGCCAGCAGCCGCGGUAAUUCCAGCUCCAAAAGUAUAUAUUUAAGAUUGUUGCGGUUAAAAAGCUCGUAGUUAAUGAUUCCACCACAUGGAGCUCAG
rnacentral:ncRNA from 1 species